ACACGGCUGACGAAUUGAAAAUAAGGUGAAACCCGCGUCCUGGAU
rnacentral:hammerhead_ribozyme from 1 species